rnacentral:rRNA from 1 species
GAACGCUGGCGGCGUGCUUACCACCUGCCAGUCGACCGGAAAGGCCCUGCUUUUGUGGGGUGCUCGAGUGGCGAACGGGUGAGUAACACGUGAGUAACCUGCCCUUGACUUUGGGAUAACUUCAGGAAACUGGGGCUAAUACCGGAUAGGAGCUCCUGCUGCAUGGUGGGGGUUGGAAAGUUUCGGCGGUUGGGGAUGGACUCGCGGCUUAUCAGCUUGUUGGUGGGGUAGUGGCUUACCAAGGCUUUGACGGGUAGCCGGCCUGAGAGGGUGACCGGCCACAUUGGGACUGAGAUACGGCCCAGACUCCUACGGGAGGCAGCAGUGGGGAAUAUUGCACAAUGGGCGGAAGCCUGAUGCAGCAACGCCGCGUGCGGGAUGACGGCCUUCGGGUUGUAAACCGCUUUCGCCUGUGACGAAGCGUGAGUGACGGUAAUGGGUAAAGAAGCACCGGCUAACUACGUG